rnacentral:rRNA from 1 species
GAGCCAUCGAUGGGAGCUUGCUCCCUNAGAUUAGCGGCGGACGGGUGAGUACACGUGGGUAACCUGCCUGUAAGAUUGGGAUACUCCGGGAAACCGGAGCUAAUACCGGAUAACAUUUUGAACCACAUGGUUCAAAAUUGAAAGAUGGUCUCGGCUAUCACUUACAGAUGGACCCGCGGCGCAUUAGCUAGUUGGUGAGGUAACGGCUCACCAAGGCAACGAUGCGUAGCCGACCUGAGAGGGUGAUCGGCCACACUGGGACUGAGACACGGCCCAGACUCCUACGGGAGGCAGCAGUAGGGAAUCUUCCGCAAUGGACGAAAGUCUGACGGAGCAACGCCGCGUGAACGAUGAAGGCCUUCGGGUCGUAAAGUUCUGUUGUUAGGGAAGAACAAGUACCAGAGUAACUGCUGGUACCUUGACGGUACCUAACCAGAAAGCCACGGCUAACUACGUGCCAGCAGCCGCGGUAAU